rnacentral:lncRNA from 1 species
AAUAAUAAUAAUAAUGAUGAUAAUGAUAAUAAUAAUGAUGAUGAUAAUUAGUGGAUGAAGUGACAAUAAAAUUAAGUAUAAUGUUGGCAACAACAGUUAUUCGGAUUGUAAUAACUCUGUCCAUAUUUGUAGUGACAACGACAGCAACAGCAACAACUGCUACAAGUUGAAAACUGACCAGAAGUGGCGACGUUGCGUAAGCGCGGAAUCUAUCCAUAGCAGAUUCACGAUACCAGCCACAACAAUAAAAACGGUUUUAAUACCAACAACGACUCCGACAACAACAACACCAGUACGAUAAACACGAUAUUACCCGCAUUGUUAACAGAACAACAACAAUAAUAACAACAAAAAAAGAACAACAAAGACUUGGAAACAGUCUAAUUAACAUCAGUGAUAUAACAUCGACAACAGAGAAAAAAAACAACGAGAGUUUGUUAAAGAAAGAGUUCGUUGUUAAAGCGAACUGCGAACACUUUACAAAAGAUUACGGGAAAAAUAGGACGGAAGAUAUAAAGAAGAAAGAAUGGUAAGUCUAUGAUAUUGGAUACUAUAUACACGCACACACGGCGAUGAGAUGAUAAUAAUAAUAAUAAUAAUAAUAAUAAUAAUAAUAAUAAUAAUAAUAAUAAUAAUAAUAAUAAUAAUGAUGAUGAUGAUAAAUGCAACAAAUGAUGAAAGAAGUAAUUGUUUAUCGCAACAACUGCUAUAGUUCCACUGAUAAUAAAAGAGCGAAGAUAGGAGCGACUAACCUUUUGAUAACACUACAUGUAAAAGAAAAAAAAAGUUGGUACUCUACCAGAGAAAUAAGAUAGUGAUACAUGCAUACAUACAUGCAUACAUACAAUCAUACAUACAUACUACAGCAACAACAAAAAUAAUAAUCCUUUAUACUAUAGGCACAAGCCCCUGGAUUUUGUGGACAUACAUAUAUACAAACAAAC